GCCAGGUAUGGUGGCACAUGCCUGUAAUCCCAGUGCUUGGGAGGCUUAGGCAGGAGGAUCCAGAGUUCAAAGCCAGCCUCAGCAAAAAUGAAGUGUUAACCAACUCAGUGAGACCCUGUCUCUA
rnacentral:sRNA from 1 species